UACGGAAAGCCGCGUGCAAGCGAAGGAGGAGUCACAUAGGAAAAACCGUGUGGCAAUCCAGAGGCGUGAUGCGGACCGAACUAAAGUAGGGAAGUGUGUGAGCCAUGAAUCAAGAAAAGCCGCUAUUGUUUUUAAGAUACCCGUACCGUAAACCGACACAGGUGGAUGAGGAGAGAAUCCUAAGGCCGGCGGAAGAAGCAUUGUUAAGGAACUCGGCAAAAUGACCCCGUAACUUCGGGAGAAGGGGUGCCAACGAGAGUUGGCCGCAGAGAAUAGGCUCAAGCAACUGUUUAGCAAAAACACAGGUCUAUGCAAAACCGUAAGGUGAGGUAUAUGGGCUGACGCCUACCCGGUGCUGGAAGGUUAAGAGGAGAGGUUAGCGCAAGCGAAGCUUUGAAUUUAAGCCCCAGUAAACGGCGGCCGUAACUAUAACGGUCCUAAGGUAGCGAAAUUCCUUGUCGGGUAAGUUCCGACCCGCACGAGAGGCGUAAUGAUUUGAGCGCUGUCUCGACAAUGCAUCCGGUGAAAUUGAAGUACCAGUGAAGAUGCUGGUUACCCGCGCCAGGACGGAAAGACCCCAUGGAGCUUUACUCCAGUUUGGUACUGGGGUCCGGCAGUGCAUGUACAGGAUAGGUGGGAGGCUGUGAACCUGGAACGCCAGUUUCAGGGGAGCCAUUGUUGGGAUACCACCCUUGUGCUGCUGGGCUUCUAACCAGCGGCCUUUAUCAGGCCGGGGGACAAUGCCAGACGGGGAGUUUGACUGGGGCGGUCCCCUCCGAAAGGGUAUCGGAGGCGCUCAAAGGUUCCCUCAGAAUGGUCGGAAACCAUUCGAAGAGUGCAAAGGCAGAAGGGAGCUUGACUGCGACACCGACGGGUGGAGCAGGUACGAAAGUAGGACUUAGUGAUCCGGUGGUAUUAAGUGGGAAUGCCAUCGCUCAACGGAUAAAAGCUACCCUGGGAUAACAGGCUUAUCACUCCCAAGAGUUCACAUCGACGGAGUGGUUUGGCACCUCGAUGUCGGCUCAUCGCAUCCUGGGGCUGUAGUAGGUCCCAAGGGUUGGGCUGUUCGCCCAUUAAAGCGGUACGCGAGCUGGGUUCAGAACGUCGUGAGACAGUUCGGUCCCUAUCCGGCGUGGGCGUAGGAUAUUUGAGAGGAGCUGUCCUUAGUACGAGAGGACCGGGAUGGACUGACCUCUGGUGUACCGGUUGAACCGCCAGGUUCACGGCCGGGUAGCCAAGUCGGGAAGGGAUAAACGCUGAAGGCAUCUAAGCGUGAAGCCCCCCUCAAGAUGAGAUAUCCCAUUCGAAAGAAGUAAGACCCCUUGAAGACGACGAGGUAGAUAGGGCAGGGGUGGAAGUGCCGUAAGGCAUGGAGCUGACUGUUACUAAUCGGUCGAGGGCUUGACCG
rnacentral:rRNA from 1 species